AUUCCAGGUACCUAGUUAUGGAAGGUAGAAUAGAAAUUACAACAAAAAAUUCCUAAUUCUAAUAGAACACUAACAAUGCUAAAUAAACUUUAAUCAAAUUCAGAGAAACCUCAAAAGAAUUCCAAAGAAACAAUAAAAAAAUCUUAAAAAAAUAUUAGAAUGAUUACAAACAUAUCUCAAAUACAUUUCAAUUCAAUCUUAAUUUAAUCUUAGUUGAAAUCUUAUUGGACUUCAUUCAAAAUUUAGACCAAAAACUAGCUAAAUCUUAAAUCCUAACAAACUCAAAUAAAACUCUAAAUCCUAAAUCAAAUCCUGAUCAAAUCCUAACUAAACCUUAAUCCCUAAACCAAAUCCUAAUCAAAUCCUAGUUGUAAAUAAAACCCUAUCAAAUCCUAAAUCAAACCCUAACCAAACCCUAACCAAACCCUAACACUAAAUCAAAUCUUAACCAAAUCCUAACCCUAAAUCAAAUCCUAACCAAAUCCUAGUAAUUUCUACAACAAAAUUAAACCUCAAUUAUUAAUGAAUGAACCGUUGAUCUUAAGUCAAAUUUUGCAAAAUUCUUAGAAAUUAAGUUGAAAACAAGCACAAAAAUUUUGAAAGGGAUCGAAAUUACUAAAUAGAUAAUAACCUCAAAAAUGUUCUCGAGAAUUGGUCGGCUUCCUUCUUCAACCUUAAUGCCAAUCUCCUAGAGCCAAUAUCUCUUCUUUCUACCAUUCAAUUGAUCUCAAAAUUCUCAUACACAUAGAAAAACAAGUCUAAUAUCCUCUUAUAUAAAUUUCACUCUAAUUCAACUAGUAAAUUGCAAGAAAUCUUAAAAAUCCUCACUAGACCUAAAAUUCUACUUUCUGAGACCUUGACUAAUUUAAAUCUCAAUAACCCUCAAUUCAACCAUUAGAUCGAGCUAAGAAUCACAACACAUAUUAAGCAC
rnacentral:lncRNA from 1 species